rnacentral:rRNA from 1 species
CCCAGACAGCCAGGAUGUUGGCUUAGAAGCAGCCAUCAUUUAAAGAAAGCGUAAUAGCUCACUGGUCGAGUCGGCCUGCGCGGAAGAUGUAACGGGGCUAAACCAUGCACCGAAGCUGCGGCAGCGACGCUGAUGCGUUGUUGGGUAGGGGAGCGUUCUGUAAGCCUGCGAAGGUGACCUGUGAGGGUUGCUGGAGGUAUCAGAAGUGCGAAUGCUGACAUAAGUAACGAUAAAGCGGGUGAAAAGCCCGCUCGCCGGAAGACCAAGGGUUCCUGUCCAACGUUAAUCGGGGCAGGGUGAGUCGACCCCUAAGGCGAGGCCGAAAGGCGUAGUCGAUGGGAAACGGGUUAAUAUUCCCGUACUUGGUGUUACUGCGAAGGGGGGACGGAGAAGGCUAUGUUGGCCGGGCGACGGUUGUCCCGGUUUAAGCGUGUAGGUGUGUGUUCCAGGUAAAUCCGGUUCACUUUAACACUGAGGCGUGACGACGAGGCACUACGGUGCUGAAGCAACAAAUGCCCUGCUUCCAGGAAAAGCCUCUAAGCAUCAGGUAACACGAAAUCGUACCCCAAACCGACACAGGUGGUCAGGUAGAGAAUACCAAGGCGCUUGAGAGAACUCGGGUGAAGGAACUAGGCAAAAUGGUGCCGUAACUUCGGGAGAAGGCACGCUGACACGUAGGUGA